rnacentral:rRNA from 1 species
UCCGUAGGCGGUUUAGUAAGUCAGUGGUGAAAGCCCAUCACUCAACGGUGGAACGGCCAUUGAUACUGCUAGACUUGAAUUAUUAGGAAGUAACUAGAAUAUGUAGUGUAGCGGUGAAAUGCUUAGAGAUUACAUGGAAUACCAAUUGCGAAGGCAGGUUACUACUAAUUGAUUGACGCUGAUGGACGAAAGCGUGGUAGCGAACA